AACGAACGCUGGCGGCAUGCCUAACACAUGCAAGUCGAACGAGACCUUCGGGUCUAGUGGCGCACGGGUGCGUAACGCGUGGGAACCUUCCCCUAGGUUCGGAAUAACUCCCCGAAAGGGGUGCUAAUACCGGAUAAUUUCUUCGGACCAAAGAUUUAUCGCCUUUGGAUGGGCCCGCGUUGGAUUAGCUAGUUGGUAGGGUAAAAGCCUACCAAGGCGACGAUCCAUAGCUGGUCUGAGAGGAUGAUCAGCCACACUGGGACUGAGACACGGCCCAGACUCCUACGGGAGGCAGCAGUGGGGAAUAUUGGACAAUGGGCGAAAGCCUGAUCCAGCAAUGCCGCGUGAGUGAUGAAGGCCUUAGGGUUGUAAAGCUCUUUUACCCGGGAUGAUAAUGACAGUACCGGGAGAAUAAGCUCCGGCUAACUCCGUG
rnacentral:rRNA from 1 species